rnacentral:rRNA from 1 species
CGCUAUCACUCCUACGGGACGGCAGCAGUGGGGAAUAUUGCACAAUGGGGGAAACCCUGAUGCAGCCAUGCCGCGUGUGUGAAGAAGGCCUUCGGGUUGUAAAGCACUUUCAGUAGGGAGGAAGGUAGUGUAGUUAACACCUGCAUUAUUUGACGUUACCUACAGAAGAAGCACCGGCUAACUCCGUGCCAGCAGCCGCGGUAAUACGGAGGGUGCGAGCGUUAAUCGGAAUUACUGGGCGUAAAGCGCAUGCAGGCGGCCUGUUAAGUCAGAUGUGAAAGCCCGGGGCUUAACCUCGGAAUUGCAUUUGAAACUGGCAGGCUAGAGUCUUGUAGAGGGGGUAGAAUUUCAGGUGUAGCGGUGAAAAUGCGUAGAGAUCUGAAGGAAUACCAGUGGCGAAGGCGGCCCCCUGGACAAAGACUGACGCUCAGAUGCGAAAGCGUGGGGAGCAAACAGGAUUAGAUACCCUGGUAG